UACGUAGGGUGCAAGCGUUGUCCGGAAUUACUGGGCGUAAAGGGCGCGUAGGCGGCCUGCUAAGUCGAACGUGAAAUCCCUGGGCUCAACCCAGGAACUGCGUCCGAUACUGGUUGGCUUGAAUCCGGGAGAGGGAUGUGGAAUUCCAGGUGUAGCGGUGAAAUGCGUAGAUAUCUGGAGGAACACCGGUGGCGAAGGCGACAUCCUGGACCGGUAUUGACGCUGAGGCGCGAAAGCCAGGGGAGCAAACGGG
rnacentral:rRNA from 1 species